CAUCAUUACUUAAUAGCUCGUUCGCCAAGUCUAAACUCCCACUUUCUUGUCUAUGAUGGCUCUCUUCGAUGCUAGCAACCGAGUUUGACCCGUUUCUGCGCUUCUUUCAAUUUCCUUACAUUCUAUCUUCAAGAGAGACUUGACCUUUACUUAGAGAGGGGCUGCGGUACCACACUCUUCUGUGCUUGUAGGUUGACUUCCCUAUGCAUCUUGACUAAGGUCUCACAAACGUGCACUUCCCUAAUGCAUCCAGCCGCUUCACUAACUAAUGUGAAUAGGUUAUAAGGGUGGGUUGGUUAUAUACUCUUCUGCGCGUUCCUUCUUCGAACGUUUUGGUAUGUAUUGCCCCCUAUAG